rnacentral:rRNA from 1 species
UCAAGUGAAGAAGCGCAUACGGUGGAUGCCUUGGCAGUCAGAGGCGAUGAAAGACGUGGUAGCCUGCGAAAAGCUUCGGGGAGUCGGCAAACAGACUUUGAUCCGGAGAUCUCUGAAUGGGGGAACCCACCUAGGAUAACCUAGGUAUCUUGUACUGAAUCCAUAGGUGCAAGAGGCGAACCAGGGGAACUGAAACAUCUAAGUACCCUGAGGAAAGAAAUCAACCGAGAUUCCCUUAGUAGUGGCGAGCGAACGGGGAUUAGCCCUUAAGCUUCAUUGAUUUUAGCGGAACGCUCUGGAAAGUGCGGCCAUAGUGGGUGAUAGCCCCGUACGCGAAAGGAUCUUUGAAGUGAAAUCGAGUAGGACGGAGCACGAGAAACUUUGUCUGAACAUGGGGGACCAUCCUCCAAGGCUAAAUACUACUGACUGACCGAUAGUGAACCAGUACCGUGAGGGAAAGGCGAAAAGAACCCGGAGAGGGGAGUGAAAUAGAACCUGAAACCGUAUGCGUACAAGCAGUGGGAGCCUACUUGUUAGGUGACUGCGUACCUUUUGUAUAAUGGGUCAGCGACUUAUAUUCAGUGGCAAGCUUAACCGUAUAGGGUAGGCGUAGCGAAAGCGAGUCUUAAUAGGGCGUUUAGUCGCUGGGUAUAGACCCGAAACCGGGCGAUCUAUCCAUGAGCAGGUUGAAGGUUAGGUAACACUGACUGGAGGACCGAACCCACUCCCGUUGAAAAGGUAGGGGAUGACUUGUGGAUCGGAGUGAAAGGCUAAUCAAGCUCGGAGAUAGCUGGUUCUCCUCGAAAGCUAUUUAGGUAGCGCCUCAUGUAUCACUCUGGGGGGUAGAGCACUGUUUCGGCUAGGGGUCAUCCCGACUUACCAAACCGAUGCAAACUCCGAAUACCCAGAAGUGCCGAGCAUGGGAGACACACGGCGGGUGCUAACGUCCGUCGUGAAAAGGGAAACAACCCAGACCGCCAGCUAAGGUCCCAAAGUUGUGGUUAAGUGGUAAACGAUGUGGGAAGGCUUAGACAGCUAGGAGGUUGGCUUAGAAGCAGCCACCCUUUAAAGAAAGCGUAAUAGCUCACUAGUCGAGUCGGCCUGCGCGGAAGAUGUAACGGGGCUCAAACCACACACCGAAGCUGCGGGUGUCACGUAAGUGACGCGGUAGAGGAGCGUUCUGUAAGCCUGUGAAGGUGAGUUGAGAAGCUUGCUGGAGGUAUCAGAAGUGCGAAUGCUGACAUGAGUAACGACAAUGGGUGUGAAAACACCCACGCCGAAAGACCAAGGGUUCCUGCGCAACGUUAAUCGACGCAGGGUUAGUCGGUUCCUAAGGCGAGGCUGAAAAGCGUAGUCGAUGGGAAACAGGUUAAUAUUCCUGUACUUCUGGUUACUGCGAUGGAGGGACGGAGAAGGCUAGGCCAGCUUGGCGUUGGUUGUCCAAGUUUAAGGUGGUAGGCUGAAAUCUUAGGUAAAUCCGGGGUUUCAAGGCCGAGAGCUGAUGACGAGUCGUCUUUAGAUGACGAAGUGGUUGAUGCCAUGCUUCCAAGAAAAGCUUCUAAGCUUCAGGUAACCAGGAACCGUACCCCAAACCGACACAGGUGGUCGGGUAGAGAAUACCAAGGCGCUUGAGAGAACUCGGGUGAAGGAACUAGGCAAAAUGGCACCGUAACUUCGGGAGAAGGUGCGCCGGCUAGGGUGAAGGAUUUACUCCGUAAGCUCUGGCUGGUCGAAGAUACCAGGCCGCUGCGACUGUUUAUUAAAACACAGCACUCUGCAAACACGAAAGUGGACGUAUAGGGUGUGACGCCUGCCCGGUGCCGGAAGGUUAAUUGAUGGGGUUAGCGCAAGCGAAGCUCUUGAUCGAAGCCCCGGUAAACGGCGGCCGUAACUAUAACGGUCCUAAGGUAGCGAAAUUCCUUGUCGGGUAAGUUCCGACCUGCACGAAUGGCGUAACGAUGGCGGCGCUGUCUCCACCCGAGACUCAGUGAAAUUGAAAUCGCUGUGAAGAUGCAGUGUAUCCGCGGCUAGACGGAAAGACCCCGUGAACCUUUACUGUAGCUUUGCACUGGACUUUGAGCCUGCUUGUGUAGGAUAGGUGGGAGGCUUUGAAGCGUGGACGCCAGUUCGCGUGGAGCCAUCCUUGAAAUACCACCCUGGCAUGCUUGAGGUUCUAACUCUGGUCCGUAAUCCGGAUCGAGGACAGUGUAUGGUGGGCAGUUUGACUGGGGCGGUCUCCUCCUAAAGAGUAACGGAGGAGUACGAAGGUGCGCUCAGACCGGUCGGAAAUCGGUCGUAGAGUAUAAAGGCAAAAGCGCGCUUGACUGCGAGACAGACACGUCGAGCAGGUACGAAAGUAGGUCUUAGUGAUCCGGUGGUUCUGUAUGGAAGGGCCAUCGCUCAACGGAUAAAAGGUACUCCGGGGAUAACAGGCUGAUACCGCCCAAGAGUUCAUAUCGACGGCGGUGUUUGGCACCUCGAUGUCGGCUCAUCACAUCCUGGGGCUGAAGCCGGUCCCAAGGGUAUGGCUGUUCGCCAUUUAAAGUGGUACGCGAGCUGGGUUUAGAACGUCGUGAGACAGUUCGGUCCCUAUCUGCCGUGGACGUUUGAGAUUUGAGAGGGGCUGCUCCUAGUACGAGAGGACCGGAGUGGACGAACCUCUGGUGUUCCGGUUGUCACGCCAGUGGCAUUGCCGGGUAGCUAUGUUCGGAAAAGAUAACCGCUGAAAGCAUCUAAGCGGGAAACUUGCCUCAAGAUGAGAUCUCACUGGGAACUUGAUUCCCUGAAGGGCCGUCGAAGACUACGACGUUGAUAGGCUGGGUGUGUAAGCGUUGUGAGGCGUUGAGCUAACCAGUACUAAUUGCCCGUGAGGCUUGACCAU